GGUUAAGCGACUAAGCGUACACGGUGGAUGCCCUGGCAGUCAGAGGCGAUGAAGGACGUGCUAAUCUGCGAUAAGCGUCGGUGAGGUGAUAUGAACCGUUAUAACCGGCGAUUUCCGAAUGGGGAAACCCAGUGUGUUUCGACACACUAUCAUUAACUGAAUCCAUAGGUUAAUGAGGCGAACCGGGGGAACUGAAACAUCUAAGUACCCCGAGGAAAAGAAAUCAACCGAGAUUCCCCCAGUAGCGGCGAGCGAACGGGGAGGAGCCCAGAGCCUGAAUCAGUGUGUGUGUUAGUGGAAGCGUCUGGAAAGGCGCGCGAUACAGGGUGACAGCCCCGUACACAAAAAUGCACAUAUUGUGAGCUCGAUGAGUAGGGCGGGACACGUGGUAUCCUGUCUGAAUAUGGGGGGACCAUCCUCCAAGGCUAAAUACUCCUGACUGACCGAUAGUGAACCAGUACCGUGAGGGAAAGGCGAAAAGAACCCCGGCGAGGGGAGUGAAAAAGAACCUGAAACCGUGUACGUACAAGCAGUGGGAGCCUCUUAAUGGGGUGACUGCGUACCUUUUGUAUAAUGGGUCAGCGACUUAUAUUCUGUAGCAAGGUUAACCGAAUAGGGGAGCCGAAGGGAAACCGAGUCUUAACUGGGCGUUAAGUUGCAGGGUAUAGACCCGAAACCCGGUGAUCUAGCCAUGGGCAGGUUGAAGGUUGGGUAACACUAACUGGAGGACCGAACCGACUAAUGUUGAAAAAUUAGCGGAUGACUUGUGGCUGGGGGUGAAAGGCCAAUCAAACCGGGAGAUAGCUGGUUCUCCCCGAAAGCUAUUUAGGUAGCGCCUCGUGAAUUCAUCUCCGGGGGUAGAGCACUGUUUCGGCAAGGGGGUCAUCCCGACUUACCAACCCGAUGCAAACUGCGAAUACCGGAGAAUGUUAUCACGGGAGACACACGGCGGGUGCUAACGUCCGUCGUGAAGAGGGAAACAACCCAGACCGCCAGCUAAGGUCCCAAAGUCAUGGUUAAGUGGGAAACGAUGUGGGAAGGCCCAGACAGCCAGGAUGUUGGCUUAGAAGCAGCCAUCAUUUAAAGAAAGCGUAAUAGCUCACUGGUCGAGUCGGCCUGCGCGGAAGAUGUAACGGGGCUAAACCAUGCACCGAAGCUGCGGCAGCGACACUAUGUGUUGUUGGGUAGGGGAGCGUUCUGUAAGCCUGUGAAGGUGGCCUGUGAGGGUUGCUGGAGGUAUCAGAAGUGCGAAUGCUGACAUAAGUAACGAUAAAGCGGGUGAAAAGCCCGCUCGCCGGAAGACCAAGGGUUCCUGUCCAACGUUAAUCGGGGCAGGGUGAGUCGACCCCUAAGGCGAGGCCGAAAGGCGUAGUCGAUGGGAAACAGGUUAAUAUUCCUGUACUUGGUGUUACUGCGAAGGGGGGACGGAGAAGGCUAUGUUGGCCGGGCGACGGUUGUCCCGGUUUAAGCGUGUAGGCUGGUUUUCCAGGCAAAUCCGGAAAACCAAGGCUGAGGCGUGAUGACGAAGCACUACGGUGCUGAAGCGACAAAUGCCCUGCUUCCAGGAAAAGCCUCUAAGCAUCAGGUAACAUCAAAUCGUACCCCAAACCGACACAGGUGGUCAGGUAGAGAAUACCAAGGCGCUUGAGAGAACUCGGGUGAAGGAACUAGGCAAAAUGGUGCCGUAACUUCGGGAGAAGGCACGCUGAUAUGUAGGUGAAGCGACUUGCUCGUGGAGCUGAAAUCAGUCGAAGAUACCAGCUGGCUGCAACUGUUUAUUAAAAACACAGCACUGUGCAAACACGAAAGUGGACGUAUACGGUGUGACGCCUGCCCGGUGCCGGAAGGUUAAUUGAUGGGGUUAGCGGUAACGCGAAGCUCUUGAUCGAAGCCCCGGUAAACGGCGGCCGUAACUAUAACGGUCCUAAGGUAGCGAAAUUCCUUGUCGGGUAAGUUCCGACCUGCACGAAUGGCGUAAUGAUGGCCAGGCUGUCUCCACCCGAGACUCAGUGAAAUUGAACUCGCUGUGAAGAUGCAGUGUACCCGCGGCAAGACGGAAAGACCCCGUGAACCUUUACUAUAGCUUGACACUGAACAUUGAGCCUUGAUGUGUAGGAUAGGUGGGAGGCUUUGAAGUGUGGACGCCAGUCUGCAUGGAGCCGACCUUGAAAUACCACCCUUUAAUGUUUGAUGUUCUAACGUUGGCCCGUAAUCCGGGUUGCGGACAGUGUCUGGUGGGUAGUUUGACUGGGGCGGUCUCCUCCUAAAGAGUAACGGAGGAGCACGAAGGUUGGCUAAUCCUGGUCGGACAUCAGGAGGUUAGUGCAAUGGCAUAAGCCAGCUUGACUGCGAGCGUGACGGCGCGAGCAGGUGCGAAAGCAGGUCAUAGUGAUCCGGUGGUUCUGAAUGGAAGGGCCAUCGCUCAACGGAUAAAAGGUACUCCGGGGAUAACAGGCUGAUACCGCCCAAGAGUUCAUAUCGACGGCGGUGUUUGGCACCUCGAUGUCGGCUCAUCACAUCCUGGGGCUGAAGUAGGUCCCAAGGGUAUGGCUGUUCGCCAUUUAAAGUGGUACGCGAGCUGGGUUUAGAACGUCGUGAGACAGUUCGGUCCCUAUCUGCCGUGGGCGCUGGAGAACUGAGGGGGGCUGCUCCUAGUACGAGAGGACCGGAGUGGACGCAUCACUGGUGUUCGGGUUGUCAUGCCAAUGGCACUGCCCGGUAGCUAAAUGCGGAAGAGAUAAGUGCUGAAAGCAUCUAAGCACGAAACUUGCCCCGAGAUGAGUUCUCCCUGAGACUUAGAGUCUCCUGAAGGAACGUUGAAGACGACGACGUUGAUAGGCCGGGUGUGUAAGCGCAGCGAUGCGUUGAGCUAACCGGUACUAAUGAACCGUGAGGCUUAACCUU
rnacentral:rRNA from 1 species